CGCUGCCAAAUGACAGCUAAGGUGACGCACACUAACGCCGACAGCAUACGUGCGUACAUACGUCUAGCUGCAUAACUGGUCGCGGUUAUUUGUGUACGUGUGCCCACUGCAAAUGUAUGUGGAGCGCGAGUGAAUUGAGAUAUUACAACAGUCAUCGAAUCAUUUUUAACGCGUGAUUCUUCGAAAACUCAUCGAUAACCGACAGUUCUAUUACGUUUCUGCGUUUUUCUUGUUUUCGUAGGCGCACCGUUGUGUACGAUGCUUUACAACACGUGUGUGGUAUCGACUUACAAUGGCUGCGGCAAGUAUUUGCACACUAUUGGCUCUAUCGUCAUAUUAAUUAUUUGACCGCGAAAGAUAUUAAAUUUCAUAUCAUUUAGUAGCGUUUUCACACAUUUGCAAAAAUUUAAUAUCGCGGAUAUCAUGACGUAGGAUCUGGUAAAAAAUACUUUAUUGGCAAAUAAAUAUGUGCUGAUACUUUUCGUAGCUACUGUAAAUGGUGGAACAUUUUACGGAACGUUCGCUAUGAUUUAUACGUAUCAUCUACGUAAAACUUUAUGACAUAGAAAAAAGCUUUGUUGUUGUUGGUGAAGAUCAAUUGUUAACAAUCGUAGACAAAUGUUAAUGAAAAGCUCUCGACAGUGUUAAUGAAUGUAAUAAUGAGUGUGAAUUGUCUUGUCUUCUACCAUUCGGUUAAUAAUAGUGUAGAAUGAUUAUCGAAUAAAAAUCGGUUUGUAGAAAGUAGAAAAGAUUGAUGAGAAUCCAGAAGAAAAUAUGCGAUUGGAAUGUAAAAGAAUACAAAAUUUCUCUGUCCACUAUAGCAAUAACUACGCCUGCUACGUUUUUGCAAUAAAACAGCAAUUAUAAGUCAACUAUAAAUGAUUUAUUUCAUCGUCUAAGUGGAAAUAACAGAAGACAAACUGGAUUUAAAAGACAGCUAAGUUUCUUCAUUUUUGUAUUAUAAGACAUUAAAAUACAGAAAUAAUGACAAUUAUUGUAGUUGCCAAGCGUAUGAAGAUGAGGGGAAUCCAUUUUACUUCUCUUCAAAUCCAUAUUACAGAUUACAAAUUUUGUACACUUGCAAAAAUACAUCGCAUUGAGUUUGAAGAAGAUAAAAUUAGAUAAUUUCUCCGAUAAAAUCAAUUGGUUCGUGCUAUCGAUUCUAAGAACAGCGGAUAAUUCGUAAAAAAAACGAAUUGAAUUCUUUAGAAUUCUGUAUAAGAGUAAAUAGGUAGCCGAGUGAACUCACUUACAUGCUUCAAAAAAAUUUAUAAAUUAGUCGGAUGACUCCACGCAGAAAUUGAUAAAUAGAUGAACCGUCGUUCCAACAGCAAGUGCAUUUAAAUACAAAGUAGAAGUAAUCAUAGAACUCUUGAUGACACAAUUACUUGGACAAGAAAAAUAAUAUUUUCAUCUCAUCUCGCGUACUAAAUAAUAUUUGGACUCGUGCGUUUCAACAAAAUCAUAAGGCUCAAAGUAUAACGAGAUCGAGCUGAAGUUCCCUGUCGGAUAAAUUGUUAACACGAUAAAAUUUGCUAGUCGAUUCGAAAUGUGUUCGGACGAACAAGAAUCGUAUCAGUCAUGGAGAAGUAAAUAUGUGCAAACGAGAGACGACAGCCGGAUGUCAGUGGUUUAUCUAAGGAACUGUUUGCGGAGCACGGAAGAAAGUCAAGGAAAAAUAAAGAUGUGAAAGAAGAAAAUAUUUCAUUUCAAAUUCCGAGUAUUUUCGUGCAAGAGCCAUUCUUCAGAAAUAUAAGAGACAUCAUUUCUCAUAUCAUUCGUCACACGAAUGCCUUUCUAAGUCCAAAAUAUUAAUCGCUUAAACGAGUCAUAAUUAAUUCAGUUUUAUUCAAUUCCACACAACUUGUAAAAUCUGCGUUUGCCCGGUUUUCGUACCAAGGUCUGCAAAUUGUGCCAUUUAUUCCACUGUCUUCGCUAAAACUCUCUUCAGCCUGCUUGCACCUUGCCUUCUUCUAUUCUUUUCUAUUCUUUUCUUUUCCAGCUUCUCCACUCAUUCCAUGAUCCUUCUAUCCUGUCUUUUACUCGUCUUUUACUACGUCUUCCGACCUGACACGUCAUUUGGUUUCCUUAUAAUUGCCUGUUAAGUGAAUUAGAUCCUCGAAUUUAUCCUCCUCCUCCUUCUCCUCCUCCCAGUGCCUAUUUCAAUUUUCCAACUCUCCACACUAUGCUCGUGCUAUUAUCUUUUGACCUUCUCCUUAUUUUCUUAGGUAUUCUGGCAGCCCUAUUGUUCACACGUAUUGGUAUCUAUCAUCGCAUUGCUCUGACAUUUAUAAUACCUGAGUCUUAGACUUUAGUCGCUUUAUUACGUAUCGCAGAGUUUCCUUUAUAAUAUAGACGCAUAAGGGGUAACUGAAGAAGAAAAGAGGCGCAUGAGGCACUUUACUGUGAACACGAUACGGGGUGUCUUAAGGUAGUUGAUAAGCUCAGACAAGAAGUUAUUUGUAUACGUACGUAUGCUACAUAAAAAGAACAUUUCUGUUGAUUUAGGCCUGAGUUUUGAGAAAAUCGAGCUCGUGCAAUUAGCACAAUAAGCGAAGUGCCGGUGAUAGCUACCUCGAGCUCGACUUUCUCGAAAACAACAUGUCAAAGGGAGAAAUUUAUUCGACUUAUUUUUGUAUACACGUAGAGUGACGCCCUGUUUGUAUUCCAAGACACCCUAUAUACAAUGCUCCUAUGUUAAAACAUUGAAACCCUGAAUACGGUCACUUUAACCGCUCCUGCUUCCUUCUUUCUCAUUUCGAUUAUUCAUCAAUUUAUUCGACCUAUUUUUGUAUACACGUAGAGUGACACCCUGUUUGUAUUCCAAGACACCCUAUAUACAGUGCUCCUAUGUUAAAACAUUGAAACCCUGAAUACGGUCACUUUAACCACUCCUACUUCCUUCUUUCUCAUUAUUCCACACAGUGGCUCCAAGGAAUACUUUAUACAUAUUCUUAUUUUCCAAGCAGCUGUUUUCUCUUAAUCAGGUUAUACAUUCCAGUUUCGUAGCGUUCACUUUUUCCAGUCAUUUACAUUUGUCCUUUACUGUCAUCACUUCAAUGAUAUUCCCUCCAAGUUCUAAAGUACGAAAUAGCUAUCUUCGAUCAAAUUCUUGCACAAAUUCAGAUGCUGAAGAUUCCACCGUAUUUUCAAUCUUCCUUGUGGGAUGAAAAAUUAUUAAUAUUAAAUGUAUGUUAGAAGAAACAUCACGUUAAGACGCUAACGCUAUGUUAGCUCGUUUACUGACACUAACCUGAAUUCGAGUUUGUUUAACUUUUUUCCUAAUGUACAGUCAUCCACAUUUUGUUAUUUCGAAAGGCUCGAGAUUAUAUAGGGUGGGACAGAUAAAGCGUCACAAGCAGUUUUCUUAGAAGGCAUCGCAGAUAUUAAGUGGAAUUUUUCAGUUGUUAAAUGGUGCAGAGGGGCUAGCAUUUUAGACUGCAAGAUAUUGCGGGGGUGAGUUUCUUAAGGGUUGCCUAUUUCCGUUUAAAAGCAAAGCAAAAUUUCCAGAUGAUAAAAAAAGAAGAUAAUAUUGAAAGUAAAUACGAAACUACGGUUUCAAUGAGAUCUCUUUCUGUUGCGAAUAUGCAAAAGGCGGUGAACAUUUCCAAUUUAAUUUCAGCGAAUGCUGGCGAGUUUUACACGUGGCAGUGCUUCCGCUACGUUUCACGCAACAAAUCGUUCACAGAGAAAUACAGAAUCGCGUGGAACUGGUCAUCGAAAUUUGCAACAUGUUUCCAACUUCAUGCGUCGUAUUAGAAACGAUACUUAUGAGAUAAGUUCUGCAUUAUCGUUUGAUAGUUUCGUCUGAAACAUCAAAUAGUUUUAACUAGAUUGACAAUCGCUCAUUAUACUUUGCACGUGGUUACUUGUAAAACAAACAAAUUACGUUACGUUUGCAAUAUAAUUAACUUUGUAAAGAAGCGACUAGGACUGUGAAAUCAUGUUCCAAUGUAUUAUAGUUUUUGAAACGUAUCAAUACUUUUCAAUUUAACUUAAUUAUAUUAAUAAUACGAGAAUAUUUAUUUCUUCGUUAUUGAUACGACCCAAGCUGUAACCUUUUGUUUUUAAUGUCACGUAAGCGACGUGGUCGCUAAUGAUCCAAGUGGGUUGAUGUAAUUUAAACAAAUAAGUAAAAAUAAAACAAGAAUAU
rnacentral:lncRNA from 1 species